AUUAUUUAAAACUUAUAAUUCGAUAAAUUAAGUAGUAUAUUACAUAUGUCUUAGAUUUUGGAUUUAAGAAUUUGUGGAACUAAUUAUACUGAUAUGUAAAACGUUCUACAUUACUUAUGUUAUUUGUAUAUAUUUGCGAUUGCUUAUUGUUAUGCGUUUACUUUUCUACAUUGGCUAGAUGUGUAGGGGGAGGUUUGAGAUCUCACAAACAUGUUUAACCCCGCCGCAUUUUUGCGCCUGUUCCAAGUCAGUAUUAUUUUAAUUUAAGUUUCUUGUGUUCAAUUUGGAAAUUAGUAUGGCGGUCAUUAUCACUGAACUAGUAUACAUUUGUUUAGGGGCCAGCUGAAGGUCGCCUCCGGAUGCGGUUGUUUUUUUCUAUGGUCGGGUUGUUGUCUCUUUGGCACAUUCCCCAUUUCCAUUCUCAAUUUUAAUUACACUGUAUGAUUUGUAUAUAUCAAACUAUUGUCAAUGUAUUAAGGGUAUUUGCUCCUUUGUUAAAAAAAGCAAACAUUUUUAAAAAAGUUAUAAAUUGAUAGUCUAUAAAUAACGUACCUUAAACAUACAAAUAGAUAUAUUACUAAUUAACGUGACAGUUUUAUUUUUUAUUUCAGGACCUUACUGCGUAUUAUAAAAUUUUACCCGAAAUUUAUUAAUAAGAUCCUACUUGCUACAUAUGUGCACCAUUUGAAUGAAUAGAAUUUCAUUGAUUAACUUUCCGCUGCAUUCGGUUAACACAAUAGGGUAAUAGCAUUUAAAUAAAAACAUUAAAGAGUUAUCAUGCGAGUUAUCCAUACUCUGGAACUGAUAACUGAAUUCUUUGUACAGUUAUUAAGAUAACGAUGCGUUUUACAGAAAAGGGGAUAAUGAACUGAAAGUGCAUAAUAAAUAGCAAAAAAAUACCAAAAAUAAGAAACACAAAAAUAAACAAAAAAAUAAAGAAUGAAAAAUAUUUGGGUGUUAUUAAAACAUUAAGAAUAGAGAAUAAUUGGCAACAGAUAUAAGAAAAAAAUACAGCAAAAAGUAAAUAAUAUUAAGAAUAAAGAUAUUAAAUUAUCUCCAAUACACACCCACAGCUCUCGAACAAUCAAUUAACUAAUAUUGUGGGAAAUGGAUUCUGAGACUGAAAGUUUUAUGUAACUAAGAUAUAUAUAAAUUACAAUUUUCAGUGAAAAUAUAUAUGUAAUGAUUGGUAACGUUUUACUUGUAUGUAUUGUUAGGAAUUAUAUAUUGUUUAUAUUGCAAUACAAAACUAUUGUGUUUGCUAAAUUUGUAUCAGAAGAAGAUUGUUUAUCAGUGUUAUAUGUAUUUUUUUUUUAUUUACUUUUUUCUGUAUAUUUAUAAUCAAUAUUAAUAUCACCAGUGAAAAGUGACUUACGGGUACUUUUUACUGGCAAUGUCGGUUAUGAGAGUUAUCUGCCUUGGAUGCAUUCAUAUUUAUUUGUAUGUGAACAAUAAUAUUUAAAUUAUUUUUAUUAUUUAUAUUGCAGUGUAAUUUUUUAUAAUUUGCUAAAAUUCUUGUGACAGUUUUUACUUUUCUUUGCAAACAUUCAAAAUCAAAUUGUUGUUCAAUUUCUGAGAUUAAUUGUACCUUGAUUUCUGAUUGUUAUCGUUUAAGUUUAGGUCAAAUCAUUUUGAAAUUUAUUGAAAGAUAAGUUAAAUCAGCAUUUAAUUGUUCGAAUUAAUGUUUGGUACACACAUAGUUUAUGUUGUGAAUAUAAGGAUUAAAUUUGAUUAAGCAGUUAUCUAUGUCAUGAAAAGAAGUUGUAUGAAAAUGUUACCAUGCUAAACGGAACAUUAUUAUGAUGAUUAUUAAGAUAUAGGUCUAGGAAUUACAAACUAACAACAUGGUUAUAUUGUAAAUAACAACUAUUGUAUUCAUUGAUUGAACAAAU
rnacentral:lncRNA from 1 species